GUUUCCAUGGUGUAGUUGGUUAUCACGUAACCUUCACACGGUUAAGGUCUCCGGUUCGAACCCGGAUGGGAACA
rnacentral:tRNA from 1 species